rnacentral:tRNA from 1 species
GCCUUGGUAGUUCAAUGGUUAAGCACUUAGCUGCUAUACUAAAAGGUUGGUGGUUUGAACCCACCCAGAGGCU